rnacentral:rRNA from 1 species
GCUGACUUUUGUACCCAAAAGUUGUGCACGCCGGAGUUUGUCCUCUCACAUAAAAUCCAUCUCACCCUUUUGUGCACCACCGCGUGGGCAACCCUUCGGGAUCAAACUGAUCCAGGAGGGGGCUUGCGUUUUCACACAAAACCCCCUUUUAAAAAAGUGUAGAAUGACCCCAUUUUUGCGAUAACACGCAAUCAAUACAACUUUCAACAACGGAUCUCUUGGCUCUCGCAUCGAUGAAGAACGCAGCGAAAUGCGAUACGUAAUGUGAAUUGCAGAAUUCAGUGAAUCAUCGAAUCUUUGAACGCACCUUGCGCCCCUUGGUAUUCCGAGGGGCACACCCGUUUGAGUGUCGUGAAAAUCUCAACCUUCUCGGUUUCUUCUGGAUGCCGAAGGAGGCUUGGACUUUGGAGGCCUUUGCUGGCGUCUCUCGCCAGCUCCUCUCAAAUGAAUUAGCGGGGUCCUCUUUGCCGAUCCUCGACAUGUGAUAAGAUGUUUCCAUGUCUUGGUUUCUGGCUCUGUUGCCUUUGGGACCCGCUUCUAACCGUCUGAACGACGAAUGUUUGUGAGCGCGUCUCCCUUCUCGGGGAAACACUCUCUCGAAC